CCCUUACAGCCGGCAGGGGAGAGAGAGGGAGGGAGAGAGGACCCGGGAGCUCAGGCUGCAGCUCCUCCGGGUCCUCCUCUCGCGAGAUUUGAAGCGUUGCCGCGGUUACCACGGCAACGCUCCAAAUCUCGCGAGAGUGAACUCUAGCCCUGGAGCGCGGGCUAGAGUUCACUCUCACCACCUGACCACCAAUGAAUCCCCCACCAGACCACCAGGGACUAAGAAAUGUCCCCCCUCCUCCCAGUAAAGGUAAGAAGGGAGGGGGGACAUAGCAUAUUUAUUUUAAUUAAAUUAAAAAAAUAUAUAUUAUAAAAAAAAAAAAAGCCACACACACACACACAUUGCCCCCAAUACUGCCCCCCCCUUCACACAAACUGCCC